rnacentral:rRNA from 1 species
GUGGGGAAUCUUCCGCAAUGGACGAAAGUCUGACGGAGCAACGCCGCGUGAGUGAAGAAGGUUUUCGGAUCGUAAAGCUCUUUCGUUAGGGACGAACGUGCUCUUUGUGAAUAAUGAGGAGUAAUGACGGUACCUAAAUAAGAAGCCACGGCUAACUACGUGCCAGCAGCCGCGGUAAUACGUAGGUGGCAAGCGUUGUCCGGAAUUAUUGGGCGUAAAGCGCGCGCAGGCGGGAUAUCAAGUCUGUCUUAAAAGUGCGAGGCUCAACCUCGUGAGGGGACAGAAACUGGUAUUCUUGAGUGUCGGAGAGGAAAGUGGAAUUCCAAGUGUAGCGGUGAAAUGCGUAGAGAUUUGGAAGAACACCAGUGGCGAAGGCGACUUUCUGGACGAUGUCUGACGCUGAGGCGCGAAAGCUAGGGGAGCGAACCGGAUUAGAAACCCCGGUAGUCC